rnacentral:rRNA from 1 species
CCUACGGGAGGCAGCAGUGAGGAAUAUUGGUCAAUGGCCGAGAGUCUGAACCAGCCAAGUCGCGUGAAGGAAGACGGCCCUACGGGUUGUAAACCUCUUUUGUCUGGGAACAAAGUGCGUCACGUGUGACGCUUUGUAGGUACCCGAAGAAAAAGCAUCGGCUAACUCCGUGCCAGCAGCCGCGGUAAUACGGAGGGUCCGGGCGUUAUCCGGAUUUAUUGGGUUUAAAGGGAGCGUAGGCGGGAGGUGAAGUCUGCGGUGAAAUUUCGUGGCUCAACCGUGGUACUGCCGUUGAAACUGGAUUGCUUGAGUGCGCGAGACGUAGGCGGAAUGCGUGGUGGAGCGGUGAAAUGCUUAGAUAUCACGAAGAACUCCGAUUGCGAAGGCAGCAUACGGGAGCGCAACUGACGCUGAUGCACGAAGGCGUGGGUAUCGAACAGGAUUAGAUACCCCAGUAGUC